AGACGUAGGGCGCGAGCGUUAUCCGGAUUUAUUGGGCGGAAAGGGCUCGUAGGCGGUGAUGUAGGUCGGGUGUGAAAACUUGGGGCUUAACCCUGAGAUGCCAUCCGAUACUGCAUUGACUAGAGUUCGGUAGAGGAGUGUGGAAUUCCUAGUGUAGCGGUGAAAUGCGCAGAUAUUAGGAGGAACACCUAUUGCGAAGGCAGCACUCUGGGCCGAUACUGACGCUGAGGAGCGAAAGCGUGGGUAGCAAACAGGAUUAGAAACCCGAGUAGUCC
rnacentral:rRNA from 1 species